UGGGGAAUAUUGCGCAAUGGGGGGAACCCUGACGCAGCCAUGCCGCGUGAAUGAAGAAGGCCUUAGGGUUGUAAAGUUCUUUCGGUAUUGAGGAAGGUUGAUGUGUUAAUAGCACAUCAAAUUGACGUUAAAUACAGAAGAAGCACCGGCUAACUCCGUGCCAGCAGCCGCGGUAAUACGGAGGGUGCGAGCGUUAAUCGGAAUAACUGGGCGUAAAGGGCACGCAGGCGGUUAUUUAAGUGAGGUGUGAAAGCCCCGGGCUUAACCUGGGAAUUGCAUUUCAGACUGGGUAACUAGAGUACUUUAGGGAGGGGUAGAAUUCCACGUGUAGCGGUGAAAUGCGUAGAGAUGUGGAGGAAUACCGAAGGCGAAGGCAGCCCCUUGGGAAUGUACUGACGCUCAUGUGCGAAAGCGUGGGGAGCAAACAGGAUUAGAUACCCUGGUAGUCCACGCUGUAAACGCUGUCGAUUUGGGGGUUGGGGCUUAACUCUGGCGCCCGUAGCUAACGUGAUAAAUCGACCGCCUGGGGAGUACGGCCGCAAGGUU
rnacentral:rRNA from 1 species